rnacentral:lncRNA from 1 species
CUUUAUUUUCCUGCCUGCCUUCCUGGAGGGCAGUGAGACGCAGGCCCAGAUCCUUCACACAGGGGAGCGAGAAGAGAGGGAGGAAGAGGCUGCCCAUCAACAUUGCCACCAUGGCAGCCUCCUGCCCCUGAGAAAGUGGAAAUGCCCAGGGAGAAGAAUCCAGAGAAAACACAAAAUGUUGUCUAGAAGCCGCAGCCUAGAUGCUAAAGAAGUGCUGUCUUCAACCCUGUAGAAACUGAUACUCCACCCGCUUGUUCUUUCUGCUUCUAGUCCUGUGACCCCAGGAACCAUCCUCUUUCCCUAGGACUAUCAGCCAGCAUCUCUCCUCUGUCGCCUCCAACCUGCCCUCUUCCCGCUCCACCGAGCACACCUGCAGGCAGGAGUGAGAAUCGUUGCUAUGUGGAGUGGGCAAGUGUCUUGACCACUGUCCUUCCCAUUUACAUCAUGCCUGUCCUAGGGGUAAUAACAAUACUCACCUCACUGGGUGUGCUGAAGGUUAAAUGAGAAAAUGUAUGCAUCCAGCACAGAAAGCAUAAUAUGUUUUCUUUUCUUUUCUCUCUCCUCCUCCUUUUUCAUUCUUUCCACAAUCUUUCCUUCCUUCCCCAAAAGUUACACUUUUCCAAGCUUAAAGCUCCAUCUUGGCAUCAACUGUAACCUGAAUGUAUGCCAUUCACAGCUGAUUUGCCGGGUGCUGUGCCACACAGUUCUGAACCCCAGUGAGGGAUCAAUCCACACCCAGUCCCCAGCUCUACCAGUCUCUGGAGCACUCUGCACUGCUCUCUCCAGCCCUACCUCAUGCACACGAAAGGGGGCUUGGCCAAGUUUAGCAUGUCAUCACUGGCAGCCACACUCUGACCUGCAGUAACUUCUGCACUGGUUGACAUUCACCGCUUUGAACAUAGAAACAAGAGGCUCCCUGUAGCUGCUGCCUUUUGUGGGCUUCGCCAUCGUCCUCCUGAGCAGGCUUCCACAUUAAGGACUCAGAAAUUUCUAACACUUUACAAGAGGGAGGAGUGAACAGCAAGUGGUUUGGAAAUCACAAAUUUGUAGGAGCUCAGCAAGUGCUACUUAGGUCUAAGGGACACAGGGCAGGUUUGGAUUAAGAAAUGACACCAGUUUGGGGCCGGGCGCAGUGGCUCACGCCUGUAAUCCCAGCACUUUGGGAGGCCGAGGCAGGCGGAUC